rnacentral:rRNA from 1 species
AAAUAGAAAAUUACAGGCAAAUGGUGGAUGCCUUGGGACCGGAAGGCGAUGAAGGACGUAGGGUGCUUGCGAUAAGCCUCGGGGAGGUGGCUACCAACCUUUGAUCCGGGGAUUUCCGAAUGGGGAAACCCAACGCAGCUUAAACUGCGUUACCGAGUGUAUAAUAUAUGCUCGGAGCGAUACCCGCUGAAGUAAAACAUUUCAGUAAGCGGAGGAAAAGAAAAUAAUGCCAUUGUUUGCAACGGCCAUUCCCUUAGUAGCGGCGAGCGAA